rnacentral:rRNA from 1 species
UGGGGAAUUUUGGACAAUGGGCGAAAGCCUGGUCCAGCAAUGCCGCGUGUGUGAAGAAGGCAUUCGGGUUGUAAAGCACUUUUGUCCGGAAAGAAAUCCUUGGCUCUAAUACAGUCGGGGGAUGACGGUACCGGAAGAAUAAGCACCGGCUAACUACGUGCCAGCAGCCGCGGUAAUACGUAGGGUGCAAGCGUUAAUCGGAAUUACUGGGCGUAAAGCGUGCGCAGGCGGUUUGCUAAGACCGAUGUGAAAUCCCCGGGCUCAACCUGGGAACUGCAUUGGUGACUGGCAGGCUAGAGUAUGGCAGAGGGGGGUAGAAUUCCACGUGUAGCAGUGAAAUGCGUAGAGAUGUGGAGGAAUACCGAUGGCGAAGGCAGCCCCCUGGGCCAAUACUGACGCUCAUGCACGAAAGCGUGGGGAGCAAACAGGAUUAGAUACCCUGGUAGUCCACGCCCUAAACGAUGUCAACUAGUUGUUGGGGAUUCAUUCCUUAGUAACGUAGCUAACGCGUGAAGUUGACCGCCUGGGGAGUACGGUCGCAAGAUUAAAACUCAAAGGAAUUGACGGGGUCAUAGCUGUUUCCU